rnacentral:tRNA from 1 species
UCUAAUAUGGCAGAAUAGUGCACUGGACUUAAACCCCAUUUAUAAAGGUUUCACCUUUUUUUAGAA